UGAUGAAGAACGCAGCGAAAUGCGAUAAGUAGUGUGAAUUGCAGAAUUCAGUGAAUCAUCGAAUCUUUGAACGCACAUUGCGCCCUUUGGUAUUCCUUAGGGCAUGCCUGUUCGAGCGUCAUCUAAACCUUCAAGCCCUGCUUGGUGUUGGGUGCCUGUCCCGCCUCUGCGCGUGGACUCACCUCAAAUCCAUUGGCGGCCCCCGCGUCGGCCACGAGCGCAGCAGAAACGCGAACUCGUGAGCCCGUCCGGGCGGCUCCCAGAAGCUAACCCCCAAUUUUUGACCUCGGAUCAGGUAGGGAUACCCGCUGAACUUAAGCAUAUCAAUAAGCGGAGGA
rnacentral:misc_RNA from 1 species